CAGACCCAGGAAGCCCCGAGCCGUUCGCGCGCACGCAGACGGGGAGUGUGCGCGCGCGCCUAUGGCCCUUCCCCUCGCCGCCCCGCCGAGCAUGCGCGCUUCCGCGGCCUUUGCAAAUUAUGGGACACAGAAAUUUCAGAAGAAUCAGACAGGCCCCUCAAAGGACAAUGAAGAAAGAUGCAACAGACCUGAGUAGGCUGUCUUAUAUUACCAAGAAGAUCAUCAAGGAAAUUGGAAAAGGAGGAGUUUACUUUCUAUCGGGAGAGAAAACAUGGACAAAUAUAAAUAUAAAUGUAAUUAAUCCAUCAAAAAGCAUUUAUUCAGCACCUACUGUAUACCAG